rnacentral:lncRNA from 1 species
CUAUCUCUCUCUCAGCCCAUUUUGCAGGUUUGUUGUAACUCUUUGGGUUUUCUUCGAAUCACUCAUGGUUUAUCUACGAUUUCGAUUUGCUUGCGCUACAUGAGUUGUGUACGCGGCAUCUGUAGGAGCAGGAUUUGAUUUCUUUAGCAGGAGAAGGAGCAAGAGUUUUAGUUGCGCUGCAGGUUCUCUACGAUUUUGAUUUGGGUUCUUUGUUUUUAACGUUUUCCCAAUUUAAUCUUUUCAUUGAAUCCCACCUAUGUUGCCCACGUUUUUCCAAGCUAUUAGCAAAAAUUUCCUUCAAAUAAUCCAAGCUUUUUAUUUGGUUUUUGACUCGGCAGAAGAGCCUGUCGACUUGACUCUGCAAUGAUUUGGUUAAUUUGAUUUUUGAUGCAUAGUGGGUGUUCCACGAAUUGCCACAGAGAAGGCUUUGCUGGAAACAAACAGAUUCUCAUUCAUAGAACAAACAAGUCCCAAAAAGAUCACUUCCACCUUCGUUUCAGACCAAAGUCGUGAAUAUUCUUGAAGUAUUUUUUUCACAUGCUGUAUUUAUCUUCGUUGUCCU